rnacentral:rRNA from 1 species
GACUGCCGAUGACAAAUCGGAGGAAGGUGGGGAUGACGUCAAAUCAUCAUGCCCUUUAUGUCCUGGGCUACACACGUGCUACAAUGGUCGGUACAACGAGAAGCAAGCCAGCGAUGGCAAGCAAAUCUCUAAAAGCCGAUCCCAGUUCGGAUUGCAGGCUGCAACUCGCCUGCAUGAAGUCGGAGUUGCUAGUAAUCGCGGAUCAGAAUGCCGCGGUGAAUGCGUCCCCGGGUCUU